CAGUCGAGCGAAUCGAUGGGAGCUUGCUCCCUGAGAUUAGCGGCGGACGGGUGAGUAACACGUGGGCAACCUGCCUAUAAGACUGGGAUAACUUCGGGAAACCGGAGCUAAUACCGGAUACGUUCUUUUCUCGCAUGAGAGAAGAUGGAAAGACGGUUUCNG
rnacentral:rRNA from 1 species